rnacentral:rRNA from 1 species
AUUGAACGCUGGCGGCAGGCCUAACACAUGCAAGUCGAGCGAGCGGCGGACGGGUGAGUAAUGUCUGGGAAACUGCCUGAUGGAGGGGGAUAACUACUGGAAACGGUAGCUAAUACCGCAUACCAUCAGAUGUGCCCCGAUGGGAUUAGCUAGUAGGUGGGGUAACGGCUCACUUAGGCGACGAUCCCUAGCUGGUCUGAGAGGAUGACCAGCCACACUGGAACUGAGCCACGGUCCAGACUCCUACGGGAGGCAGCAGUGGGGAAUAUUGCACAAUGGGAGCAAGCCUGAUGCAGCCAUGCCGCGUGUGUGAAGAAGGCCUUCUGGUUGUAAAGCACUUUAAGCGGGGAGUCGUUACCCGCAGAAGAAGCACCGGCUAACUCCGUGCCAGCAGCCGCGGUAAUAC